rnacentral:rRNA from 1 species
UACGGAGGGGGCUAGCGUUGUUCGGAAUUAUUGGGCGUAAAGGGCGCGUAGGCGGUGCGGUAAGUCACCUGUGAAAUCUCUGGGCUCAACUCAGAGUCUGCAGGCGAAACUGCCGUGCUGGAGUAUGGGAGAGGUGCGUGGAAUUCCCGGUGUAGCGGUGAAAUGCGUAGAUAUCAGGAGGAACACCGGUGGCGAAGGCGGGUCUCUGGGCCGAUACUGACGUGAGGAGCGAAAGCGUGGGGAGCGAACAGG